UAUCGAACAUAAUCAAAAGGGUUGAAAGUAUGCAAAUUUAACAUGCAAAUUUUUUCACAUCAUUAAUGACAUUUGACCUACUUCAAGUGGGUCGAAAUCGCUUGAUUUACUUGGCAUGAUUUAUAUAAAUUUGAUAUGAAAAAAAAAUGUAGAUAUUAAAAAGACACACAGCUGAAAUGAAUUUGUCAAAUGAUAUACACAUAGAGAGUCAAUUCUUAGUACAGAUACAUGACAGUCGGUCGAACGGACUAUUUAUGCGACUGCAUUGACAGUAUUUCACAAUUACCCGUUCGUGAUUUCAACUUUUCUCACCAUUUCAUACCAAAUGAAUAUUUUCACCACAGUUUGAAAAGAUAAAUUCACUCAUUUUUAAACUCUUGCAACAAAAUAUUCAAUAAAUUUAUUCAUUUAGCAUUAAUUUAGUAAACAAUAGACCAACAUCUUUAUUUCAUUUAACAUAUAAAUGUAGUGUAAUUGGUUUUCAAAAUAUGCAGAAUAUCUUAUAGUUUCAUUCAUUUUGUUGAUGCUACAAACAGUUGGUUUUUUCAAUAGGGAUGUUAUGUCCAUCAUGUUCCUAUUGAAAAAUUGAAUUGAAUCAACUGCCAAAAAAGUUUGUUUUUUGUAUCAUUUUGACACUUGUAUAUUUUUUCACAAUUCGAAGAGACAUAGAAUAAAAUAUAAAAAAAUGAAUAAAAUAAAUUGUUCAAAUUGCGAAAACCCAUCCAUUACGAAGCUCGGAGAAGGUGAAUUAUAUGAAUAUAUCAUAAAAGAAAAAGGUUUUCCAAAUAAUACGGAUAUUCAUUUAUGUUGUUCAUGCAAUAUUAUGUUCGUCAAUAGUCUGAGCAAACAAAUGGAGGAAAAAGAGAAGAAAGAAACAGAACAAGCCUCAGGUCCAGCAGGUGUAGAAGACAAGUUUUCUUUGAUGAAAAUCGGCAAUUGAUUCAACGAUAAAUAACAUCUGAUCGUUCCAUUCAAUUGAUACGCUUUCUAGGUUAUGAUACAUCAAGACCAA